rnacentral:rRNA from 1 species
GACGAACGCUGGCGGCGUGCCUAAUACAUGCAAGUCGAGCGGAUGACGGAGGAGCUUGCUCCUCCUGAUUCAGCGGCGGACGGGUGAGUAACACGUGGGCAACCUGCCCUGUAGAUUGGGAUAACUCCGGGAAACCGGGGCUAAUACCGAAUAAUCCUUCGGACCUCAUGGUCCGAUGUUGAAAGACGGCAUCUCGCUGUCACUACAGGAUGGGCCCGCGGCGCAUUAGCUAGUUGGUGAGGUAACGGCUCACCAAGGCCACGAUGCGUAGCCGACCUGAGAGGGUGAUCGGCCACACUGGGACUGAGACACGGCCCAGACUCCUACGGGAGGCAGCAGUAGGGAAUCUUCCACAAUGGACGAAAGUCUGAUGGAGCAACGCCGCGUGGGUGAAGAAGGUUCUCGGAUCGUAAAACUCUGUUGUGAGGGAAGAACAAGUACCGGAGUAACUGCCGGUGCCUUGACGGUACCUCAUUAGAAAGCCACGGCUAACUAUGUGCCAGCCGCCGCAGUAACAC